rnacentral:rRNA from 1 species
AAAUUGAAGAGUUUGAUCAUGGCUCAGAUUGAACGCUGGCGGCAGGCCUAACACAUGCAAGUCGAACGGUAACAGGAAACAGCUUGCUGUUUCGCUGACGAGUGGCGGACGGGUGAGUAAUGUCUGGGAAACUGCCUGAUGGAGGGGGAUAACUACUGGAAACGGUAGCUAAUACCGCAUAACGUCGCAAGACCAAAGAGGGGGACCUUCGGGCCUCUUGCCAUCGGAUGUGCCCAGAUGGGAUUAGCUAGUAGGUGGGGUAACGGCUCACCUAGGCGACGAUCCCUAGCUGGUCUGAGAGGAUGACCAGCCACACUGGAACUGAGACACGGUCCAGACUCCUACGGGAGGCAGCAGUGGGGAAUAUUGCACAAUGGGCGCAAGCCUGAUGCAGCCAUGCCGCGUGUAUGAAGAAGGCCUUCGGGUUGUAAAGUACUUUCAGCGGGGAGGAAGGGAGUAAAGUUAAUACCUUUGCUCAUUGACGUUACCCGCAGAAGAAGCACCGGCUAACUCCGUGCCAGCAGCCGCGGUAAUACGGAGGGUGCAAGCGUUAAUCGGAAUUACUGGGCGUAAAGCGCACGCAGGCGGUUUGUUAAGUCAGAUGUGAAAUCCCCGGGCUCAACCUGGGAACUGCAUCUGAUACUGGCAAGCUUGAGUCUCGUAGAGGGGGGUAGAAUUCCAGGUGUAGCGGUGAAAUGCGUAGAGAUCUGGAGGAAUACCGGUGGCGAAGGCGGCCCCCUGGACGAAGACUGACGCUCAGGUGCGAAAGCGUGGGGAGCAAACAGGAUUAGAUACCCUGGUAGUCCACGCCGUAAACGAUGUCGACUUGGAGGUUGUGCCCUUGAGGCGUGGCUUCCGGAGCUAACGCGUUAAGUCGACCGCCUGGGGAGUACGGCCGCAAGGUUAAAACUCAAAUGAAUUGACGGGGGCCCGCACAAGCGGUGGAGCAUGUGGUUUAAUUCGAUGCAACGCGAAGAACCUUACCUGGUCUUGACAUCCACGGAAGUUUUCAGAGAUGAGAAUGUGCCUUCGGGAACCGUGAGACAGGUGCUGCAUGGCUGUCGUCAGCUCGUGUUGUGAAAUGUUGGGUUAAGUCCCGCAACGAGCGCAACCCUUAUCCUUUGUUGCCAGCGGUCCGGCCGGGAACUCAAAGGAGACUGCCAGUGAUAAACUGGAGGAAGGUGGGGAUGACGUCAAGUCAUCAUGGCCCUUACGACCAGGGCUACACACGUGCUACAAUGGCGCAUACAAAGAGAAGCGACCUCGCGAGAGCAAGCGGACCUCAUAAAGUGCGUCGUAGUCCGGAUUGGAGUCUGCAACUCGACUCCAUGAAGUCGGAAUCGCUAGUAAUCGUGGAUCAGAAUGCCACGGUGAAUACGUUCCCGGGCCUUGUACACACCGCCCGUCACACCAUGGGAGUGGGUUGCAAAAGAAGUAGGUAGCUUAACCUUCUGGAGGGCGCUUACCACUUUGUGAUUCAUGACUGGGGUGAAGUCGUAACAAGGUAACCGUAGGGGAACCUGCGGUUGGAUCACCUCCUUA